rnacentral:rRNA from 1 species
UACGUAGGAGGCGAGUGUUGUCCGGAUUUACUGGGCGUAAAGCGCGCGCAGGCGGCACACUAAGUACGAUGUGAAAUCUCCCUGCUUAACGGGGAGGGUGCACUGUAAACUGGUGAGCUCGAGGACGGUAGAGGGGGGUGGAAUUGCUGGUGUAGCGGUGAAAUGCGUAGAGAUCAGCAGGAACACCCGUGGCGAAGGCGGCCCCCUGGGCCGAACCUGACGCUGAGGCGCGAAGGCUAGGGGAGCGAACGGG